GACGAACGCUUGCGGCGUGCUUAACACAUGCAAGUCGAACGGAAAGGCCCUGCUUUUGUGGGGUGCUCGAGUGGCGAACGGGUGAGUAACACGUGAGUAACCUGCCCUUGACUUUGGGAUAACUUCAGGAAACUGGGGCUAAUACCGGAUAGGAGCUCCUGCUGCAUGGUGGGGGUUGGAAAGUUUCGGCGGUUGGGGAUGGACUCGCGGCUUAUCAGCUUGUUGGUGGGGUAGUGGCUUACCAAGGCUUUGACGGGUAGCCGGCCUGAGAGGGUGACCGGCCACAUUGGGACUGAGAUACGGCCCAGACUCCUACGGGAGGCAGCAGUGGGGAAUAUUGCACAAUGGGCGGAAGCCUGAUGCAGCAACGCCGCGUGCGGGAUGACGGCCUUCGGGUUGUAAACCGCUUUCGCCUGUGACGAAGCGUGAGUGACGGUGAUGGGUAAAGAAGCACCGGCUAACUACGUGCCAGCAGCCGCGGUGAUACGUAGGGUGCGAGCGUUGUCCGGAUUUAUUGGGCGUAAAGGGCUCGUAGGUGGUUGAUCGCGUCGGAAGUGUAAUCUUGGGGCUUAACCCUGAGCGUGCUUUCGAUACGGGUUGACUUGAGGAAGGUAGGGGAGAAUGGAAUUCCUGGUGGAGCGGUGGAAUGCGCAGAUAUCAGGAGGAACACCAGUGGCGAAGGCGGUUCUCUGGGCCUUUCCUGACGCUGAGGAACGAAAGCGUGGGGAGCGAACAGGCUUAGAUACCCUGGUAGUCCACGCUGUAAACGGUGGGUACUAGGUGUGGGGUCCAUUCCACGGGUUCCGUGCCGUAGCUAACGCUUUAAGUACCCCGCCUGGGGAGUACGGCCGCAAGGCUAAAACUCAAAGGAAUUGACGGGGCCCCGCACAAGCGGCGGAGCAUGCGGAUUAAUUCGAUGCAACGCGUAGAACCUUACCUGGGUUUGACAUGGAUCGGGAGUGCUCAGAGAUGGGUGUGCCUCUUUUGGGGUCGGUUCACAGGUGGUGCAUGCCUGUCGUCAGCUCGUGUCGUGAGAUGUUGGGUUAAGUCCCGCAACGAGCGCAACCCUUGUUCACUGUUGCCAGCACGUUAUGGUGGGGACUCAGUGGAGACCGCCGGGGUCAACUCGGAGGAAGGUGGGGAUGACGUCAAGUCAUCAUGCCCCUUAUGUCCAGGGCUUCACGCAUGCUACAAUGGCUGGUACAGAGAGUGGCGAGCCUGUGAGGGUGAGCGAAUCUCGGAAAGCCGGUCUCAGUUCGGAUUGGGGUCUGCAACUCGACCUCAUGAAGUCGGAGUCGCUAGUAAUCGCAGAUCAGCAACGCUGCGGUGAAUACGUUCCCGGG
rnacentral:rRNA from 1 species